rnacentral:rRNA from 1 species
GACAGAGGUGCCGAGCGUUAGGCGGAAUCACUGGGCUUAAAGCGUGUGUAGGCGGACCGUUAAGUGCCUUGUGAAAUCCCCCGGCUCAACCGGGGAACGGCUGGGCAUACUGGCGGUCUUGAGCCACCUAGGGGCGAGCGGAACAAGCGGUGGAGCGGUGAAAUGCGUAGAUAUCGCUUGGAACGCCAAUGGUGAAAACAGCUCGCUGGGGGUUUGCUGACGCUGAGACACGAAAGCCAGGGGAGCAAACGGG